rnacentral:rRNA from 1 species
UUCAAGUGUGAGUUUUAAGCUAAAACUAUUAUAAGUUAUGUUCUUUAAAAUUAAAAAAUUUGGCGGUAUUUUAGUCUUUUCAGAGGAACCUGUUUUUUAAUCGAUAAUCCACGAUAACUAUUACUUUAGUUUUAAAUUUAUAUAUCGUCGUUUAUAAAAAUUUUAGGAGAAUUAUAAUUUUUGGGAUUUUUUAUGAGAAAUUAAUUCAGAUCAAGGUGUAGUUUAUAUUAAAGUUAAAAUGGGUUACAUUAUAAUUAUAUGUGGUUUUGUAUUUUAAAAUUAUGAAUAAAAUGGAUUUGAAAGUAAGUUCUUUAUUUUUGAGAACUGAUUAAGCUCUAAAAUAUGU